CAGCAGUGAGGAAGGUGGGUAUGUUAAUAGCAUACUCAUUUGACGUUAGCUGCAGAAGAAGCACCGGCUAACUCCGUGCCAGCAGCCGCGGUAAUACGGAGGGUGCAAGCGUUAAUCGGAAUUACUGGGCGUAAAAGCGCAUGCAGGUGGUUUUGUUAAGUCAGAUGUGAAAGCCCGGGGCUCAACCUCGGAAAUUGCAUUUGAAACUGGCAAACUAGAGUACUGUAGAGGGGGGUAGAAUUUCAGGUGUAGCGGUGAAAAUGCGUAGAGAUCUGAAGGAAUACCGGUGGCGAAGGCGGCCCCCUGGACAGAUACUGACACUCAGAUGCGAAAAGCGUGGGGAGCAAAACAGGAUUAGAUACCCCUGGUAG
rnacentral:rRNA from 1 species